UUCCCCGCCAAUGACUUGCUCACUACCACAAAAGAAGGUAACAUUAUUCUGCAACCAAAAGCAAUACUGAACACAUGCUGGGUUAAAAAAAAGGAGUUAAAUCCAUUGAAGAAAGCUUAAUUAAAUGGAGGAAUCUACUACCUGAGGAUGCCACCUGGGAAAAUGUAGAGAAUUUAUUUGAAUAGUUUCACAACCUUAAGGAUAAGGUUGCUUCAAAAGGGGGGAGUUAUGAUAAGGUCAGAAGAUCCCAAAGGAUCCCAAGAAGGAAUCCAAAAUAUAUGGAUUAAACUAGAACCGGAAGACAAGGAAGCAAGUGCUGCACAUGUUGAAAAUACACUCCAGCAGACUUGAAUGAGAGAGAAUAGAGAGAGUUGAGAGCUCCAUCUAUGAGGAUUCUGAAUGUGAGAGAGGGAGACCGAAGCUAAAGAAAGAGAGGGCAGAAAAACAAAGGGUGUUGAGCGAAAGUGUGUCGAAGAGGAAUUCAGUUUCAUCCCAGCUGAGUAAGCCCGAAAAACCCAAAAUCCUUACUGCAGCAUCAGAAUGACAUCUCUAUUUGGAUUCCACGGAUUCUUCCCAAAACGCAUUCUAACUCUACUUUACUGUUCAGGUGAGUCAUUGCUAUUCAUACAUGAUUUUACAACCAUUUUCUCGUGCGUUUUGGAAUCUAUUUUGUGUGUCAGUUUGGUAAGAGAAAUAGUACCUUAAUUUACCCAAAUAUUGCAGUUUCUAUAUGCAUUUAAAAUCUAAGAUGUGAAAAAAACCAGAAAACUCGUGGUUUUUAUGAAAAUAAAAGUGUGAGUGUGUGCAAUUCUCUGAUUUAAUUGUUGUUUUUGUGAAUGUAUUUGAAUAUGAAAUGUUUAUUGAUGAUGUAUAAAGCUUUUUAUGGAUUUUAAAUAAUCACAAAAGCAAAAAUGAUAGAAAAUCAUGAUGAAUCGUUAGUGGGAAACUGGAUGCUUCUUGCUGUUCAGCCCCGACACCAAAAUGCCAGGAUAAAGGGGCUAUAUGGCAUAUGCCGUGUGUGGGUGUGCACGAGGCAUUGUUGAGGCACCUACAAAUGUUGUGAUACGUCCCCUUGCAUGAUGUGUAUGCGCAGUACACUGCGCUCGAGAGGAAGGACACUGCUAAGCAGGCCUGCUGUGCCGAGAGUGUUUUGUUGCAGGGACCAUGCGUGCUGUGCACGCAAUGUGCGAAGGGGCACCUGCCCAAGGCUUAUGCCUCGAGGACACAUUACUGUGCAGUAGUCUGUGGACUGUGUGGGUCGACAAGCAUACACGUGUCAGGGGCCUGUGCAUGCC